rnacentral:lncRNA from 1 species
GUAACAUUUAUCAGAGUAAGCUCAGCCUGGUUAUUUUAAAGGGACUUUGCUACACUGACGUGGAAGAUACAUUUCACAUCUAUAUUGUCACAACCACAAUGUCAGAAGCUCCCGAAACCCGCGCCUCGGUUAAGUUGAUCUCGUCUCUCUUCCUGUGUUUCUAUAUAUACAUAUAUAUGCCUCGGUUGAAAUUGGGUUCAUUGUUGCUAAGUUUUCAAUCAAGAUUGAUUCAUCUCCAUAAAAUUUUCAGUCAGAAAUGUAUUUUGAAGAUCAGUAAGCAACAAGAAAUACGCCGGCGUGACACGCACAUCAGGGGUGGGAGCAUGAAACAGUUGGGUGAGCGUAAGUAGUGAAGAGAACGGAGUGUUAAAGAUGUAUAUAAAUUGUGAACGCAAAUAUGGAACUACCAAGCUGGGUCCAGCUACUGAUUUAACACGGGGAUGUAGUUCAGAUGGUAGAGUGCUCGCUUAGCAUGCGAGAGGUACGGGGAAUAAUACCCCGCAUCUCCAAAUAGUCCAAGUUUGCACCUCUAUUGGCUAGAGAAUCCCUGCAGAGAGCGGGAGGUUCAGAAUUCAGCACUCUGUGGAAGUGAUUCUUCAUGUUUCAAUUUCUUCCCCCUUUUUUCAUUAUUUACUAAUCGAUUCUUGCCGUGUACAUACACAAUGCGUACAGGUUUUCUCUGGUUCAAUCGCAUAAAGCAGACCAAUUGCCCGGAAAUUUGUGCCGUUACCUCAUCAACACCCUACAAUCUGAAAAACAGAAAUAUACACGAUCAGAAUGAGAGAACGUGCUCUCAGCGAGACUGAAGAAGCCAUACCAAAAUGGUAGUGCAUAGAAUCAGAGCUGAAAGUUUGAAGGUAGAUAGCAGUGCACGCUUGAUUCAAAUACAUAAAAUGCGUCAAGUGAGAACAUGUUAGAAGUUAAACUUACCCCAAACAUCCAUAGAGGCAAGAGCCACAUCUCCGGGCAGCAAUGAAGUGAGAACUUCUAAGCAGAUGUGGAUAUUCUGGCACUCAAGCGGAGAGAGAACUCAGUCUCGGUUCCACACCAACCUUGUCCACCAUCAACGCCAGGACAUUCAAAAGACAAUGUUUCGAUGCUUUAGCUUGCGACUCAUGGUCAAAGACGCAUUCCAAGUUUUUGCUUCGCAGAAAGCCACCCACUCUAUCAAUCAAGCAGGCACUGUGAAAGACAUGGAAAACCUGCAAGUUCUGAAACUUAUUUUGGUGAGCUCUCUCUACUCAGAUCCGAGUGGAGACAUACAUUUGUGUACUCUAAUUUUGCUUUAAGACGUAAUCAACAACCGUCCUUGUUCAUUGGUUCCAACGCAGC